ACCCGCUUCGCCCAGGCAUAUCCCACCACCUCAAAGUCUGCCAAAACUGUUGCAGAUCGGAUUUUUAAUGACUAUGCUUUAAAGUUUGGACUUCCAGCUCGAAUCCACCAUGAUCAGGGAGGUGAGUUUGAGAAUCAACUCUUUGCCCAACUGAAGAGGAACUGCGGUGUGUUAGGGUCAAGAACGACACCAUACCACCCCCAAGGGAAUGGGCAGGUGGAGCGUUUUAACCGUACCCUCCUGCAGAUGCUAAAGACACUUACUGAAAAAGAAAAAACAAAUUGGAAAGGGUCGCUAAAUAAACUCAUAUAUGCAUAUAACUGCACCAAGUCAGAAGUAACUGGGUUUUCACCUUUCUAUCUACUGUUUGGAAGGUCACCACGACUACCAAUUGACCUCAUGUUCGGCCUCAUCUCUGGGAGCGGGAACGCUAACCAACAGGCAUACAUGGAGAGAUGGAAACAGGAAAUGCAACAAGCCUACGACAUAGUACGAGAGAACACAAGCAAAGCAGCAGGAAGGAGUAAGCGGAAUUACGAUGGGAAGGUGCGAAGUUCCAUACUGCAUCCAGGUGAUCGUGUCCUCGUCAGGAAUUUGUCACCCAGAGGUGGGACUGGGAAACUCCGCAACCACUGGGAAGAUGAUGUUCAUGUUGUUGUUCGGCAGAUGGGCGAAGGAAUUCCAAUAUAUGAAGUGAAACCCGAGCACGGAAGAGGAAGAUCAAGAGUGUUACAUCGAAACCUGUUGUUACCGUGUGACCAUUUGCCUUUGGAACUGAAUCCCAUGACAAAACCAAAGGAAAGGAAAACCACACCAAUACUUCCCUCUAGGAGCCCAGAUGGGGAGGAAGAGGAUGAAGAGGAUGAAUAUGGGUAUUUCCUGGAACCUGUGAUACAUCCUCCCACAAGGUCAACCGAUCCACCAGAGGCAUUGAGAGAUACCGUGCAUGUCAACAUACCAGAGGACCAUGAGCUUGGGAUGCAGGUAACAAAUACAGAAUCUGGAUCUGAGGAAACAAAUGAGCAGAGCAAUCCUCACAUGCAGAAAAAUGCUGAGGUUCAGGACAAUGACAACAACCAUUCUGAGGAACAGUUGGUUGAGGUAACUGAAGAAGGGGAUGUGCCAUACUCUCCACACUCAACCUCCAGUGAGACUGUCGAUGAAGAGGAGCCAAGUUACCAUAGGCCAAAAAGGGAAAGGAGAGCCCCUAAACUCUUUACAUAUGACCGAUUAGGGACUCCGAUGUGUUACAAAACAAGCAGUUCUUUUGUAACGCCCUGCCAGUACCACUCAAUAGUAAGCCAAGACUAUGGACCAGUAACUAUGUGGGGAGAGCACAUCCGGGGCUACCAACCAGUCUUCAUGUAUAGGUGUUAGGAUGUAAAUUGAGUCCCCUUUCAAGUAAUUGGAUGUCGGGACGACAUCUAUUUUGCAGGGGAGAGUGUAGUAGAUGGAAAUUAUAGAGUAACAGAUGAUGAAGCUUAGGACAGUAUUGUUAAAGUUUCAGUAAGUUUGGAAUUGAGAGAAUAGUGUACAGGAUGCAGAGUUUAUUUGUGGAGUUUGUCUUCUUUUAAAAUAGUUGAAAUAUGUUAAAUAUGUAUUAUAAAC
ensembl:lncRNA